GUGGGGUGCCAUUGCCUUCUCCAAGGCCAGUUUCUAGUUUGUUAUAUCUCAGGGAAUUCAACAUUCUUUGAAUAUUCACAAUUUUAAUUAGCUUUUAGAGGGCAAGCACUAUCUCCUGGAUAACUUUGAAUCUCACUGAAGAUGCUGAGGAAAUUGAUCUGGAAUCAGAACUGAAUAUUAUUUUAAAAAAAUAUUUAGUGAUUUGGGUGAGUUGGGUCUUUGUUGUGGCAUGUGGAAUCUAGUUCCCUGACCAGGGAUCAAACCCAGGUGUCCUGCACUGGGAGUGCAGAGUCUUAGCCACUGGACGACCAGGGAAGUCCCAGAACUAAAUGACUUAACUUCUGUUCAUGUUGUUACAAACUAUAAUUAAAAUCCAUUUGUAGAACAAAAUUUCAGUACUAAGUUUUACCUUUGGGGGCAAAAUUCAAGUACCCUAAUGAUAGUGGAGAAAGUGAAUUGAAAGUUUAUGGACGAAAGGGGUAUAGAAAUUGCUAUUUUAUUUAUUUGGAUCCAUAGCUUUAGCUUUGUUCACUAUGAUCGCCAAAGGACAUUCAGCUGGAGACAGAAAUGUAAAGAAAACAUGUAUGUAUCAUUCUGCCUAUCCAAGUUCUUGGUGGCAGUGGAGGGAUCAGGCUUAAUUUUAGCUAUGGUGGUUCUGAAAGUGCUUCAGCUUGGUGGCUGACUGCAUAUUUGGCUAGACCCUGUGAGCUAUUUGCAACAGUAAUAAAAACGUCACAUAAAAGUCACCCAGUCCAUGGAAACUUCCCACAGCUGAGUAGAGCUUAAUCUUAAUGCUCUGCUAAGGUUGUACGGGGUUGUUAGGCAUUGGUGUGUAUUUGCCCAGUGACCCAGGCCUUUUAAUGUGUAUUAAAGAGACCACUGAGACUCACAUUUAAACUCACCUGUGGGUACUAUUUUUCCAUUUCUGUGUCAACCUUUGGAACAUAGGAAGUUCAUCUUCUUGUUUAGUUGUAUGAGAGAAACAUUACAUACAUAUUGAGUAUCCAAGAAAUAUUAGAUACUCAAAAAUAAUCCGGGCCAUUUAGGAUCUUUAAAGCCACGACUUCCCUUGCCUUCCAGGGAUAAAAUAAAAGUUCUGUGCUGGUAAAAUUGCUUGGACCUGAUACGUUAUGUCUGAUGGCCAGAGCAGUAGCAAAUCUGCUGACAGGCUUGGACAGGGGAAGGAAAAAGCCAGUUAAAAUAUCUGUGUAAUGCUGCUUCAGGGAAAUGCUAUUUUUAAAGAAAUGAAACACAUUAUUUAGGGUUUGUGGAUGCAAUCCAGGGCUUUGAAGAUGGGAAGAAGAUCUUAAUUAGAAAGAAAUGGGAAGAUUGAAUGCUUUUAUGGGGAACCCAACUUUAAGAGGUCUGUUUAUCAUAGAUGCAGAUGAUAUAUAUUGUGUACUGGCUGCAAGCCCUUCUUUGACAAAACCAAAGCCUUUAAAGUUACAGGAGUGCAUCCAUCCACAAGUUUGUUCAGUGUCUAAUGAGCAGGCAUUCAUCAUGUAAAACUUGGAGACAGUUCAUAAAAGGACAAUGAAGAUGAUUUAAGGCUUGGAAAAUAAAACCUAUAAGGAAAGGUUAAAACAAUUCACAUUAUUAGCUUGGCAAAGAGGAGAUGAGGAGUGAGGAUUUCUAGUCUGUGCAAGGUUAUUCUUGGUGGUUUGGCAUGCUUAAUGAGAAAUGAUUCCCCAGGAAUUCUGAAAUUUCCCUUUUGUUGGUCUUGUUAUAAAAAUAUAUUCAUAGGAAUAAUUAGGAAGCAGAAUAUGUCCUAAAACCUUCUCACCCAGAGGGGCUUCACAAAGCUAAAAUGGAGAGGAUGAGCUGAGUGUUUGGAGCUAGGGUUUUCUUAGGCAGAAAGUACAAUAUUCUGUGUGUUUUUUUUUUUUUUUUGCAGCAUUUCUCAUAAUUGCAACUAACUAAUGGCUUGUAUGCUUAUUUAUCUAAUGUCUACCUUCCUGGCUAGACUGUAAGCUUCAUGAGGGCGGGAAUUAUGUUUGUCUUUGCACCGCUGCAUUCUCAGAGCCUAACACAGUGCCUGGCAUGUAAUAGGUGCUUGAUAUGCAUUUUGUGCACACACGGGGAAUAUAUAUGCAUUUCAUAUUUUAAACAAAAAUGGGUUCAUCCUGUAUGUGCUGUUCCAUAAACCUGUCACCUUUAACGAAAUAUUAUGCCAUUUAUAUUCUAUACUGUCACUUGCAUGGCAGCAAGAUGUUCUGCCAUACGCAUGUGGCCUCAGGUAUUGAACCACUCCUCUAUUCUGGGACAUUUAGGUUGUAGCUGGUUUUCCCCAUUUCCAAUAGUACAGCAGUAAUCACUGCUGUAGCUAAAUCCUUCUUCAAAAGAAUUUUAAAAAGGAGACGAUUAUAAGAGAUGGCAAGAUGUUGUUCACUUAAGGUCUUAAAAAUGUGGCAGAUACUGAUUUAAUCAGUUUUGCUGUGGUCCUGUAUGGAAGCAGGGAAAUGGAUCUGAUGACCUCAGGAUCAAAUUGUGAUUGAAACCUUAGAUGUGUAGAUACAACUGUCUUAGUCUGUUGGGACUGCCAUGACACAAGACUGGGUGGCUUCAAUGGCAAACAUUUAUUUCUCACAGUUCUGGAGGCUGGGAGGUCUAAGAUCAAGGUGCUGGCAGAUUCUGUGUGUGGUGAGGGCCCGGCUUCCUGGUUCUUAAAUGCCUAUCUUCUUGCAGUGUCCUCAUAUGGCAGAAGGGAUGGGAAAGUUCUCUAGGGUCCCUUUUAUAAGAGCACUAAUCUCAUUUAUGAGGGCUCCACUCUCAUGACCUAAUCACCUCCCAAAGGCCCCAUCUUCUAAUCCCGCCAGAGUGGGGGUUAGGUCUCAACUAUGAAUUUUGGGGAGGGGACACAAACAUUCAGUCCUUUGCAAUGACUGUCCCCUCUAAGUUACUCUUGCACUUCUGUUACUCAUUGGAAUGUGAGCUUGUAAAAGUUACAGAGUUACCUCAACUGAACACUUUUGAGAUAGGAGAGAAAAUGAAGUGUUUUAAAACAGAAACCACAGUUAUCAAUCUGCUUUUGUCAUUUAACAUUUGUCAGCAUCAGGGUGGCUGACACUGAAUCCUGAUACACGGGAAAAUAUUGACUGUUAGACUGAGCUGAGUGCACUCUUUUUCUAAACUGAAAAGCUAAAGCCAAGUUCAAAUUUUUCUUAAAGAUGAAAGGGAAUUUUCAAGUGUUACUCUUCAUUAGGUGCCGUCUUGUUUAAUUUUAAGGAAAUGAGUCAUUUCUAAGGAGUGAUUCAUAACGGAAAUGUCUGUGUAUAGAAUUCCAUCUUUCUUUCCAAUUCCUUUCAUGAUCAGAUUGGAGAUGUGUUCUGAAAAAAAUGUUAAAAAUGCAUUCAAACAUGGCUCUUCAACUCUAUAUACCAGAUGCUAUUUUCUUCAACUUCCAUACCCUUUAUAUAAGUCAAGUUGUCCUAGUUUUUUUUUUUUUUUUCAUGCACUGUGAUUGUGGCUAACUUUGUGUUGACUGGUCAUGGCUUUAUCUACAAAAAGCUGGAAGAUGAGCUUCCAAAGAAAUGCUCUUUGAGGAUUGUGCCUCUACUUUCAUUUCUGUCUUUCUUUUUUUUGUAUUUUCCCAUUUUUCUCCUAUUGAGUUCUGGGUUCCCAGCUGCUGCUGGGGCUGGGGGUUGGUCACUGUCACCCUUCUUUGCUCUCUGUAGUGUCUGUUCUAGACACAAGUCUUUCUAGGACUGUUUUUUCUUAACCCCUAAGUGAAACACAUUUCAUGUGUCCCUAAAUUCGACCUGACCCUCUUUGGGACCAGGAGUGGGCAUGGCAUGGCAGAUGCUUGCCCUUUCUUCCUAUCUUGGCAAUCACAGAUCUUGCUGCAAGAAGUGUUGACCUCCCAAAAGUUAGUCAGGCAGAACGAGUAAGAUGGAGUCAAUUUGCACAGCUCUCAAGGGGUGAGUCUAGUUGAGAGGGACUAUCACCCAUCUCAGGGCAUUCUGCACUUGCUCUUUUCCCUGCCUGGCCCACCCUUCCCUCAUUUAUUCUCAGUGCUGUCAUGAACGCUGAAGGGCCUGACAGUUUACCUUGCUUGCAGGCCAUUGAGUUAGCCUGCUGCAGUUUCAUGGUUGCUGGCAGAAGACAUGACUUUCCUGGGUCAUAGACAAAUGACUUUAUUAUUCACAGCAAUAUCUGUAGCUGGAGCAUCAGCAUUUUCUUGUGCUACUUUUCUGAGUCCCAGUUCCCACAAGAAUAAACACAGAGGGCCAGAUGACACCAGCACAUGCAGUGGGUUGUCUUCGAGGAGAGGAACCCUGAGAUUAGGAAACCUGAAUCAUUUAAAAUGGGCGGUAAGCAUGGCUGUCCUUUCCUCCAGGGGGUGGCAUGUUAUACUGGACAGCAGUGAAUCUGUGCUUAACUCUGGAGGAAGACAUUAUCUCUGCCAUCCAUGGAUGUUUGCCAUAUAAAACCUUUUACAAGCUACUGAACACAAAGGCAGUCAGUGCCUUUGCUCCUACAUUGUGCAAAAAUGCUUGAGACCAUGGAGGGUUGUCUCCCGACAGUGACUUGCUGUCUCACUUCCCUUGGGUCUCUGUUCAAAUGUCACCUUAUCAAUGAAGCUCACCUAGAGCAUCUUACAUCAAAUAGCCGCUUAUGAUCACUCACAUCAGAUAACUCCUUAUCAUCACUGGAGUACUAAACUGUGUGUACUUAGCUUUAUGUUGUUGUCUGUAAGCCAAAAAGGUUUGUGAUGGCAGAGACCUUGUCUGUGUUACUCACCAUGGUAUCGUCAGAGCCCAGCACCGUGCUUGGUGUUAGUAGACAGUAAAUAUUUACUGAAUGAAAGAAUCAACAUGUUACCACUAGAUGACAAAAAUGGUCCAUUUUAGCUUUACAAAGUGAUGUUAAACUUGCUCUGUCUCACUCCAUAGUCUGUUCUAGCUCCAGCUCAGAGUGCUAUUCUAAGCAUCCAAUUCUGUUUCUACUCCUGGUCUUCUGGCCUCUCUCUCGGCCUGCCCAUCUGUGCAUACUCCCUCCUAAUCUCUUGGCCAGUUCCAAAUCCUGGCUCCUUACCCUGUCAUCCUUUAUCUGUCACUGUCUUAUGUCCCACCACAGACCAUGGCAACCCUUUGAAAAACCAGCCAGUGGUGUGCUAGUAAACUAGCUCCCUGCGUGAGAGCUCUGAUGUGUGAUGAUUGCUGAUUUCCCUGGUGUAAAUACUCCCACCAUGGCUGACUGCAGGAUUCCAGGGGUUUAACAGCUGGCUUGCAAACUUCCUGAAUGCUUACCAGCGGCCUUCACAAGCUGCUAGACGCUAGCUCCAGUACAUCAUUAUAAUAACAAGGCAGCAACGUAUAUGUGGUGUUGGGCUAUAAUAUAAACAUUUACAGAAAAUAUGUCCGUGGGUGAAGAAAACCCCUUACCUUGAACUGGGCUUCUCAUUCCUUAUCCUCAUGUUCUCUACUUACUGUGUUUCUCACACUCUUGCUGGCCUCAGAAUUACCCAGGGCUGGGCCCCAACCCCAGAGUUUCUGGACGCUUUGUCCUGGAGGAUUGCAUCUUUAACAUGUUCCCAGGUCAGGAUACUGUGGAUCCUGUGACCCUGCUUUGAGAGCCACUGCCCUAGUGGCAUCACAGGAGACAUGUUUUGCUCAGAAUCUGUUUCCAGGUGCUAGGUGGAAGAGGUAAGUUUUUGUAAAUAAACAGUGUAUCAGGGCCAAAAAGAAGGAAAGCCGCAAAACCAUGGGGAAAAAAGUUUGAAAUGUUUUUAUGAAAUAACUAACAGAUGGGAGUGCUCAGUAACUGAAGCUCAUUGCUACAGGUCUUCAAGGUGGUGAAAAGUGAGUCUCCAGGUGUGCCCAAAGAAAGACUCCCUCAGUUUCUAACUCUGCUGGAGCUAAUUUUGUAGUAUUAGGUUUCUGAACGAUGAGGUCAAAAUGGCUCUGAUGAGGGCAUGAAUCUUCAGACUUGCUGGGUAACCACUCCUUUAGAUGAAACUGAGCACUGAUCACUUAUUUAAGGGCCUGCAUCUGAAACAAGCUUGAAAAAAAUUAUUUACCCAUUACCAUGUGGUACUCGUGCAAAUAAGAGGGCUUGGGCAAAGAGGGAACACUUAGCCUUGAUUAGGUGGGGCAUAUUAGCUUCCUGAAAUUUUCUCACCUGUUUAAGCAGCUCUCAAUCACAGAUCCUGACAGGAUAGACACUCAGGGUAGGGAGGAUUCACUGGGCUCAGCUAAAUCCAAGGGGUGUCACACUUAGCCUAGGUCUCCAGGGCGAUGUGUGGUUCUCUGAAUUCCGCCAGGAUUCCAGUUGUGGCCAUUCGUGGUGGCCCCGCCUUUGUAGUUCUCCAUGAGGACAAUGCUCUAAGACAGUAUUUCAAGCCUAGCAUCUUUGCAACUGAUUUAACCCCAGGACUAGCUAAUUCAUGGACAACAGGGCAAAACAAGAUAGGAAUGUGAUCCCACUUGGGGACUGUGGGCGGAAGGGCUGGUAGUAAAAGCCCAAUCUUCCUGAAUUUAGCUCUUCUGUUGUUUGCCAGGGACCAAGCCUGUCCUUGGCCAUCAGGCACAGUUUGUUUUGACAAGCUUUAUUGGAAAGAGGUAGGGAGGAGACAUAGUUCAUUAUCAGAUACCUUCUUGGCACAAUAGCCUCUCUGACACAAUUUUCUUUUUCACUGAGCAAAGAAGAGAGGCAGACCUCUAUCUUGCUGGCGUUUCUCUGCACUACGUAGAACAAUCGUCUUGAUCACUCCAGGGAUUUCUAUGUGACAUCUGUAAUUCAAUGAGACCACUUUCCCCUUGGUGACCUGAUGUCAUCAGCAGCCUUUAUCUAGCCCAAAGGGUUUCCUUAUCCUUCUGAAAGGGCUGAACCCAGGGUAUUAGAGGAUGUUGGGCCUCUAGGAGGAAGCAGUUUACUUUUUAUCUGAGGGAUCUAUAGCCUCUAUUAUGACCUGGACAUUUCCCUUCAGGUCCAGGGAUCCUUUUGUCCAGGAAAGUUCUAGUCACCUUUUAGUUUUAACUGUUAGCACUGCCAACGGGCUGGACUUAAGGCUGUCCACCAACGCUCCCAAAGUGUGUUGGGGGUCAGCAGCACACCUGGGAACUUGAGUUCGCGCACCUCAUCCCACACCUGCCGGAUGAGGCCCUCUGGGGGAGGGGCCCAGCGUGCGGUGCUGUAACUCGGCCUCCAGGUGUUCUGAUGCACGCCACAGGCCUGUGUGGACUUCAGCUCCUGCAGACAUUUUGUAGUAGCAGCAGCGGUAGCUGUGAGGCGUUCGGAAUGAGCUGUUUCUUGGCAGUCAUCCUUUACACUCUGUUUGCAUUUUAAAUAAUACUCUCUUCUUCCCUGGCAUCUCUGCUUAAUGAUGAAGUGGCACUCUGGCUGUUUAAAAGGAAAAUAGGACUAUCUCUGUGGGCAAGUUUUGCACGUUAGUAGCCAUGGUGGACCUGGAUGGUUUACACUGCCCAGCUCUUCUCAACAGAACGUUUGAGGUAACAAUGAAACGCACAUCAUCUCUCUCAGCAGAGCUUUCACACAAACAGAAGAGGACCUUGCAUUUAAGCAACACAAGCAGAAGAUGAAGACUUCUUUUCUUUUUUUCCCCAAGAGCUUUUAGGCAUGUGGAGCACAAAAGGACUUUAGAAAUCACUUGGUCCACUGAGCUUGAAGUUCUGAUGCCCACCAUUCUGCAGAGGUAACUAUUGUAGAAGAACUUUAAGAAGCUGUGUUGCUUCUCUCUCUCUCCCGUCAUGGAGAGCAUAGCCCUGGUCAGUAAUGCCCACUGACUGCACUUGGAAAUAAAGGAAGAAUAAGAAGCAGUUAGCAGAUGCCUGGGACUGAAGGGUGGGGUUCGGUGCCUUUGUCCCACAGACGUGCGGGAGCGCCGGUGGCGGGUCAUCGCUCCCUGAAGCAAUUAGCCACAAGGUGGCUGCAGCUCACCCGUCACCUGCUCAGCACCCGCCCGCUGCUGCCUUUCCAUCCACCCCGUCCCCCUUCCCCACGUCUCCCAUGAAGGGAAUUUUAAGUACGUUAAGCAGUGUUUUUGGAAGACAAGAAUAAACAUGAUUUCAUCUUU